rnacentral:rRNA from 1 species
UACAGAGGGGGCAAGCGUUGUUCGGAAUUACUGGGCGUAAAGGGCGCGUAGGCGGCCUGCUAAGUCGAACGUGAAAUCCCUGGGCUCAACCCAGGAACUGCGUCCGAUACUGGUGGGCUUGAAUUCGGGAGAGGGAUGCGGAAUUCCAGGUGUAGCGGUGAAAUGCGUAGAUAUCUGGAGGAACACCGGUGGCGAAGGCGGCAUCCUGGACCGAUAUUGACGCUGAGGCGCGAAAGCUAGGGGAGCAAACGGG